rnacentral:rRNA from 1 species
UGGGGAAUCUUGCGCAAUGGCCGAAAGGCUGACGCAGCGACGCCGCGUGUGGGAGGACGCCUUUCGGGGUGUAAACCACUGUUGCCCGGGACGAACAGCGCUUUUCGAGGCGUCUGACGGUACCGGGUGAGGAAGCACCGGCUAACUCCGUGCCAGCAGCCGCGGUAAUACGGAGGGUGCGAGCGUUGUCCGGAAUCAUUGGGCGUAAAGGGCGCGUAGGUGGCACGAUCAGCGUGCGGUGAAAGCUCGGGGCUCAACCCCGAGUCGGCCGUGCGAACUGCUGGGCUCGAGCACUGUAGAGGCAGGCGGAAUUCCGGGUGUAGCGGUGGAAUGCGUAGAGAUCCGGAAGAACACCGGUGGCGAAGGCGGCCUGCUGGGCAGUAGCUGACACUGAGGCGCGACAGCGUGGGGAGCAAACA